GUGUCAGCCGCCGCGGUAAUACAGAGGUCUCAAGCGUUGUUCGGAAUCACUGGGCGUAAAGGGUGCGUAGGUGGCGUGGUAAGUCAGAUGUGAAAGCCCGAGGCUCAACCUCGGAAUUGCAUCCGAUACUACCAUGCUAGAGUACUGAAGAGGUGACUAGAAUUCUCGGUGUAGCAGUGAAAUGCGUAGAUAUCGAGAGGAAUACCAAAGGCGAAGGCAGGUCACUGGGCAGUUACUGACACUGAGGCACGAAGGCUAGGGGAGCAAACGGGAUUAGAUACCCUAGUAGUCC
rnacentral:rRNA from 1 species